ACUUCGGGAAACCGGAGCUAAUACCGGAUAAUAUUUUGAACCGCAUGGUUCAAAAGUGAAAGACGGUCUUGCUGUCACUUAUAGAUGGAUCCGCGCUGCAUUAGCUAGUUGGUAAGGUAACGGCUUACCAAGGCAACGAUGCAUAGCCGACCUGAGAGGGUGAUCGGCCACACUGGAACUGAGACACGGUCCAGACUCCUACGGGAGGCAGCAGUAGGGAAUCUUCCGCAAUGGGCGAAAGCCUGACGGAGCAACGCCGCGUGAGUGAUGAAGGUCUUCGGAUCGUAAAACUCUGUUAUUAGGGAAGAACAUAUGUGUAAGUAACUGUGCACAUCUUGACGGUACCUAAUCAGAAAGCCACGGCUAACUACGUGCCAGCAGCCGCGGUAAUACGUAGGUGGCAAGCGUUAUCCGGAAUUAUUGGGCGUAAAGCGCGCGUAGGCGGUUUUUUAAGUCUGAUGUGAAAGCCCACGGCUCAACCGUGGAGGGUCAUUGGAAACUGGAAAACUUGAGUGCAGAAGAGGAAAGUGGAAUUCCAUGUGUAGCGGUGAAAUGCGCAGAGAUAUGGAGGAACACCAGUGGCGAAGGCGACUUUCUGGUCUGUAACUGACGCUGAUGUGCGAAAGCGUGGGGAUCAAACAGGAUUAGAUACCCUGGUAGUCCACGCCGUAAACGAUGAGUGCUAAGUGUUAGGGGGUUUCCGCCCCUUAGUGCUGCAGCUAACGCAUUAAGCACUCCGCCUGGGGAGUACGACCGCAAGGUUGAAACUCAAAGGAAUUGACGGGGACCCGCACAAGCGGUGGAGCAUGUGGUUUAAUUCGAAGCAACGCGAAGAACCUUACCAAAUCUUGACAUCCUUUGACAACUCUAGAGAUAGAGCUUUCCCCUUCGGGGGACAAAGUGACAGGUGGUGCAUGGUUGUCGUCAGCUCGUGUCGUGAGAUGUUGGGUUAAGUCCCGCAACGAGCGCAACCCUUAAGCUUAGUUGCCAUCAUUAAGUUGGGCACUCUAAGUUGACUGCCGGUGACAAACCGGAGGAAGGUGGGGAUGACGUCAAAUCAUCAUGCCCCUUAUGAUUUGGGCUACACACGUGCUACAAUGGACAAUACAAAGGGCAGCGAAACCGCGAGGUCAAGCAAAUCCCAUAAAGUUGUUCUCAGUUCGGAUUGUAGUCUGCAACUCGACUACAUGAAGCUGGAAUCGCUAGUAAUCGUAGAUCAGCAUGCUACGGUGAAUACGUUCCCGGGUCUUGUACACACCGCCCGUCACACCACGAGAGUUUGUAACACCCGAAGCCGGUGGAGUAACCUUUUAGGAGCUAGCCGUCGAAGGUGGGACAAAUGAUUGGGGUGAAGUCGUAACAAGGUAGCCGUAUCGGAAGGUGCGGCUGGAUCACCU
rnacentral:rRNA from 1 species